UGAUAAACAUAAGCGACUAGCAGCAGUGGGUCGUCUCAUGAACAAAUCGCUCUCUGUAAGGUGAUGUUCCUUUUGGAAGUUUAUCCCCCUCCAUAAGAUGACAUACGGGAAGGGCUAUCAACCAAAGCACCCAACAUUCUCUGGACCAAGGAAUGGACACAUGGCCCCAAAAAAAUACUGAAAUUGUGGGGUCGCUUACCUGGCUUACCUGUUCCU